UACGGAGGGUGCAAGCGUUAUCCGGAUUCACUGGGUUUAAAGGGUGCGUAGGCGGGUAUGUAAGUCAGUGGUGAAAUCCCCGAGCUUAACUCGGGAACUGCCAUUGAUACUAUAUGUCUUGAAUAUCCUGGAGGUCUGCGGAAUAUGUCAUGUAGCGGUGAAAUGCGUAGAUAUCGAGAGGAACACCUGCGGCGAAGGCGGGUUGCUGGGCUGACACUGACGCUGAUGCGCGAAAGCUAGGGGAGCGAACGGG
rnacentral:rRNA from 1 species